AACGUAGGACGCAAGCGUUAUCCGGAGUUACUGGGCGUAAAGCGCGAGCAGGCGGCUCGACAAGUUCGCUGUGAAAGCUCCCGGCUCAACCGGGCGAGGCCAGUGGAAACUAUCGAGCUGGAGGGCAGUAGAGGCAGGCGGGAAUUCCGGGUGGAGUGGUGAAAUGCGCAGAGAGUCGGGAGGAACACCCGUAGCGAAGGCGGCACUCUGGGCCGAUACUGACGCUGAGGAGCGAAAGCGUGGGAGCGAACAGG
rnacentral:rRNA from 1 species